UUAAGGUAACGAAUGAACUCGGUAUGAUAAUGAGAUCAUAAUGAGCUGAUACGUCAUGACAGUUGCUCCGCCUUGAUCAAUCCAUAUUUGGAUACACAUACACAAACUCUAAUUUUAGGAUCAUAUAAAAAUAUAUCGGAAUAUUGCCUUUAUUCUACGCUUAAAAUAAGUCAAAUUUCCAUGAUUUGACAACACAUCACAAGGCAUUAUAAUGAGAAAUGCCCCGGUGAAGUUUGUCGUAUGGUUGGAAUCAGCGUCUAAAAUGCGCUUACUAGGCACAUGGCAAAGACGACGCGACGUUCAGAAGAUGUCAGCUGUACUACUUUGAAAUCGGAAAAAUCAAGGUAAAUUCUUGUAAUUGAAAUAAUGAUGUAUGAAUACCUGAAACCAAAGUUGUCAACAAUGAAAGUAGACAACAUUUACAUUGACUCAAUACUUUAGAGGUAGUAUAUACAUAGUUUGAUGUUCUUUGUUUACAUACUGCACACGUCACACGUAGCCGAUGUGUAGCAAAAUAGGUGCACACACGCAAAAUGGGGUUAAAGAACUGAUGCUCAAAUGGUACCAGUUGUUGUUUGUUUAUAUAAACAUGAUUUACAUGAGUACAGGCGGGUAUCUAGGCAGUAAAAUCCACAGGCACCUAAAGUAUGGAUAUUACAAUCAUGUACUUAACCCCCCUCCCCCUCUUUCUUUUGAUUUUUUUUCUUGCUAUAAUUUCUCUGAAAUAAGUAAAUUCCCUGUCUACCUCAUCCUUCUUUCGAUUCAAGUAAUCCUUUCACGCUUUUUGUAAGCUUCUACCGGUAUGAUUUAAUUUAUUUAUUGAUCCACCAAGCAUGUAGGCAUACAAUCAUUUUACACAAUAUGAGAUAUGUAUAAUGAUGACAAACUAAAUACUAAUAGUUCAUAUGCAUAUUUGUAAAGACGUUUAUAUAUAUUUGGCAUGUACAUAUGACGUCAAACUGUAUAUAUAAUUUAGCAUUGCAUGUAUAACAUUAGCAACCUAUAAUUUAUUACAAAAUUUGUGCUCAUUUUUUUUUAUACCCGGACAAGGCCAAUCUCUAAAGCUUACAAAAAGUGUGAAACGAUUACAGUACUUUAAAAAUCGAAAUAGAAAUGAGUUAGACCGGGAAUCAACACAUUUCAGAUUUAUCGCUGCAAAAAAUAUUUUCAAAAAUGGGGGUGGUGGGGUGGUGGUGGCGCAAGUAUCAGUGUAUCAGGUAUCUGUGGUAAUAUCUUGUACAAAUGCACGUGUAACUACAUUAAUUUUGAUGCUCUAGAUUUACAGUCACAUUUAAUUUUAUCAAGUGACAUACCAGAAAAAAAAUAAACUUGGGAUAUUUUCGCUUACAUUACAGUUUGAAUAAAUGGAAGAAAAAUAAAAGACCCUGAAUGCAUACUGAUUACCCACAUUUUUUAUGUGUAUUUAAGACCCUUCUUUAAUACAUUGAAUAUUUGCGGCAUAUGUAUUUAUAAUAUGAGAUAAUGCUAUUUACAGAUGUGCAUGAUACCAACAAGAAUGUGAACUUUUCAAAGAAUAUGAUAUUUCCAAUUUUCCACAUCUCUAGACCAGUGACCACAAAUGUACAUACAAGUACCCACAGAUGACAGCCAUAUUGACUCCAGUAGAUAAUAUUCAUCUCCAUCAGCUGGUUGCUACGCUGUACAUAGUGGUCAAACCAGGAUAUCCACUAAUUGCAUUCAGUGAUGUGAAUUGUCAUCUACAUUUGUGCUUAUGAACUUUAGUAAAUUGUCAAGUUUUAAUAUGAAGAAAAUGACUGCUGAAAAAGCAUCUAAUCUUGUGUUCUAUGAAUGUUUUCAAUUAAACACAAAACAAAAUGAGAAAUAGUUUUAUUGAAACUUAAUUGAAAUUCACUUUGAAUUACUUUGCAUUGACUGAGUACUUCAAAUUUUAAUCUUUCUACAAUUUCAUGGUCAAGUGAUAAAAAGUAUUUGAGAGUGAAGGGGGGGGGGGUGUCAUAUGAAGUAAAAAGAUUGACACUCAUUUGGUGAACUAGAUAUUUUACACACUGCAUCCACUUAUCUUUAUGUUCAAUAAUGAAUUAAGAAUAUUUCUUAACACUGGGAAAAUAUACCCCCUCCCCAAGUAGUGGAGGAGUAUGUGUCACUUCUGGUUUUCCAGUAGCUUGUAUGAUGGCUGUAUUCUAGAUACAUAUUUUGUUGAAAGCAAUUUUGAUUUUCAAGUUGUCACCUUAAACUAUUUCUAAAAGAAAUCCAACUCGAGUCAUUAAGUAUUCCCACGGAUUUUUUUUUAUAUACACAGUGAUAUAAUACAAAUAUUCAUUGUAGAACAAGAUACAUAUACCCCCCUCCACCUCAUUAUGUAUGUUUCAUUGCAAGAGCAGAUGCUGCAUGGGUCCAGACUCCUACCCAAACCCACUCAAUUUGAAAAGUAAUAACUCCAUGACAUUUUAAUCGUUUUUAAAACUAUCAAAUUAAGUUAUCCUCUUCCCUAAACUGUGUUUCAUUGCAAGAGCAGCAUGGGUCCAGAUAUAGACAACCACCCUUCAACAGUGUUUCAUGAAAACAUACAUGUAGUGUAUCAUAUUUUUGUAUAUAUUCUACAUCUAUUUAGUAGAUACUGCAUGUUUGUAACCUUGUUUAGACACCCCCACCCCCAAUGCAGGGAUUGACACCCGAGACUAUAUUGCUGGAUCAGCGCAUGAUUUGCACCGCGAAUCGUCAGUUACAAAUUACGCACUGAGUUCGAUCUGUUAUUAAGUUCAGAAAUAUAAGAACUUGCUGUACUAAUGGCCAUCACGUAUGAUGUGUUCGAGGUAAUGCAGAUAAUUCAACACCGCACCGAUCUCUGUGAAAUUAAAUGCAUACUUCUUUGCAUCAGA